rnacentral:rRNA from 1 species
UGAACGCUGGCGGCGUGCCUAAUACAUGCAAGUCGAGCGAACAGAUAAGGAGCUUGCUCCUUUGACGUUAGCGGCGGACGGGUGAGUAACACGUGGGUAACCUACCUAUAAGACUGGAAUAACUCCGGGAAACCGGGGCUAAUGCCGGAUAACAUUUAGAACCGCAUGGUUCUAAAGUGAAAGAUGGUUUUGCUAUCACUUAUAGAUGGACCCGCGCCGUAUUAGCUAGUUGGUAAGGUAACGGCUUACCAAGGCAACGAUACGUAGCCGACCUGAGAGGGUGAUCGGCCACACUGGAACUGAGACACGGUCCAGACUCCUACGGGAGGCAGCAGUAGGGAAUCUUCCGCAAUGGGCGAAAGCCUGACGGAGCAACGCCGCGUGAGUGAUGAAGGUCUUCGGAUCGUAAAACUCUGUUAUUAGGGAAGAACAAAUGUGUAAGUAACUGUGCACGUCUUGACGGUACCUAAUCAGAAAGCCGCGGCUAACUACGUG